rnacentral:misc_RNA from 1 species
CUCGAUCCCGAGCUCCUGAAGACCGACCAAGGCGGGAGACUGGAGCCAGUGGUUGUACGACUCGCCGUCGUCGUACGGCCAGUCAACUUUGAGGCGGCGGCAGGGGCCAGGGUGGGCCGCGAGGAUUCCGGACACGACGCGCUUGUAGUCGGUGUAGUAGUUUGGGGAACCGAGAUCGAGGUUCAACGGACAGGAGAUCCAUAUGUGCCGCCAACGGCGAGAGAGGACCUGAACGCGGACGGCAUCGGCGGUGGGAAGGCGGGUGACGAUCUCGCCGAUAACGCCGUCCGGGAGGAUGCUGAUCCGGUCCUCCCCGCCGCCGCCGCCGCCGCCACUCAUGUCUCUGCGU